UCGGAUAUGGUGUAACGGCUAACAUUGCCGCCUCUCAUCACGUCCUAAGUUGUGCACUUUCCUGAGCGCGGCAGCUCGGGGUUCGAUUCCCCGUAUCCGAA